rnacentral:rRNA from 1 species
GGAAUAUUGGACAAUGGGGGGAACCCUGAUCCAGCCAUGCCGCGUGUGUGAAGAAGGCCUUUUGGUUGUAAAGCACUUUAAGCGAGGAGGAGGCUACUCUAGUUAAUACCUAGGGAUAGUGGACGUUACUCGCAGAAUAAGCACCGGCUAACUCUGUGCCAGCAGCCGCGGUAAUACAGAGGGUGCGAGCGUUAAUCGGAUUUACUGGGCGUAAAGCGUGCGUAGGUGGCCAAUUAAGUCAAAUGUGAAAUCCCCGAGCUUAACUUGGGAAUUGCAUUCGAUACUGGUUGGCUAGAGUAUGGGAGAGGAUGGUAGAAUUCCAGGUGUAGCGGUGAAAUGCGUAGAGAUCUGGAGGAAUACCGAUGGCGAAGGCAGCCAUCUGGCCUAAUACUGACACUGAGGUACGAAAGCAUGGGGAGCAAACAGGAUUAGAUACCCGGG